rnacentral:miRNA from 17 species
AGGGGAGCAGUACUUUUGACAAG